rnacentral:misc_RNA from 1 species
UGAGACAAGCAUAUGACUACUGGCAGGAUCAACCAGGUAGCAUCCCUAAUUGACAUAACCCGCCCGCUGGUACGAGCCAACACGGGACAGGCAAGUCUUUCAAGGUGAUGCGCCACUCUUUGACAAACCCUCCUGAUCCCAAUGGCAAAGCCGAUUCAGGCAAGACAGUAGGUCAUGUUAACUUUGACAAACCCUCCUAAUGGCAAAGCCAAAUCAGGCAAGACAGUAGGCAUUGUUAACUUUGACAAACCCUCCUGAUGGCAAGGCCAAUUCAGGCAAGACAGUAUGCAUUGUUAACUUUGACAAACCCUCCCUAUGGCAAAGCCGUUUCAGGCAAGACAGUAAGCAUUGUUAACUUUGACAAACCCUCCUGAUGGCAAAGUCGUUUCAGGCAAGACAGUAAGCAUUGUUAACUUUGACAAACCCUCCCGAUGGCAGGGCCAAAUCAGGCAAGACAGUAAGCAUUGUUAACUUUGACAAACCCUCCCGAUGGCAAGGCCAAACCAGGAAAGACAGCAGUCAUGUUAAGAGAGGCACAAACGCUAAAUGAGGGCAAAACAAGGAUCCCAUGAGACCCCAUGCCCACAUCGUUUUCCAUAUCCAGGAUACCAAGCAACGCUCAAUGGGCCACAACAUCAACGCAAGCAUAAUGUUGUGGAUCAAAGAGACCGCUUUGUGGUUCAUCCGAUGCCACAAAAAUGGCACAAGACGAAAUCAACUGUAAUCAACCAAGACAAUACCAAUGCUUAGGUACGCAACACAGAAACCCACAAUUUGGCCAGGCAAUAGAUGCCCAAACAAACAACUGAAGAGGUAUGCCGGGUGGA